UGAGGGAAUAUUGGGUCAAUGGGGCGGGAGCCUGAACCAGCCAAGUCGCGUGAGGGAGGAAGGUCCUACGGAUUGUAAACCUCUUUAGCCGGGGAGCAACGUGCGCCACGUGUGGCGCAGUGAGAGUACCCGGAGAAUAAGCAUCGGCUAACUACGUGCCAGCAGCCGCGGUAAUACGUAGGUGGCAAGCGUUGUCCGGAAUUAUUGGGCGUAAAGGGCGCGCAGGCGGCGUCGUAAGUCGGUCUUAAAAGUGCGGGGCUUAACCCCGUGAGGGGACCGAAACUGCGAUGCUAGAGUAUCGGAGAGGAAAGCGGAAUUCCUAGUGUAGCGGUGAAAUGCGUAGAUAUUAGGAGGAACACCAGUGGCGAAAGCGGCUUUCUGGACGACAACUGACGCUGAGGCGCGAAAGCCAGGGGAGCAAACGGGGAUUAGAUACCCUGGUAGU
rnacentral:rRNA from 1 species